UAUUUUGUAUCAUUAAUUUAGUUAUAUUCUCUCAAAACAACUUAUUCAAGUAGCUGUAGAUCAGUCCUGACAAAUGAUGACAGAGUUUACAAAAGCUUUGUUUUUUCUUGCGGUCAUCAGUCUGUCAGUCAGUCAGUCAUCAACUGUAGAACCGCUCGAGGGGGAGUUAAAACUUACAGUAGACGUGUUGGCCAGAAGUGACGAGAUGGGGUGUGAUGACUGUGAACUGGUGCUGGACAGGCUAAUCCAUACCAAGAUCACGUUGAUACCCGGUGACGAAUUUGCGGUCGCUGCAUACCUCACUAUGAACACAUUGCACUGUUUUGAAAAAUUCAGAAUACACCCUACGGGGGAUCCUGGACGCUACGAAGAAUUCCACUGCACAAAUUCUGGUUGUGAAUGCCCGGAUAAACCCUGUGAUGAAACCAUAACGAUGGUAGUAUCUGAUUUGCAAGACCAUAAUCCAGAUGAGUACCAAGAGUGCAAGGGGAUGCUAGGGACCAAUGCGGAGUUCAAAGUUAGAGAUGUAGUAGAAUAUGACAUAUACGAACUGGCAGUCGCUGGUCAUGUUGCAGAAAUUGCGGAGGGUCAAGAAAACGGCGGAGAGGAUCAAGAAAACGGCGGAGAGGGUCAGUACUCACUCGCAGUAUGUCAUUCCAUCAAUGUUGUCCUCUCGGUGACUAGUCUCCUGAUUGCCUUCUUCUUGCAGAUGUAGUAGAAUAUUGGAUGUGCGAACUGGUAGUCGUUGGUCAUGUUUCAGGAGAGAUCGAGUGGGCUGCCGUGACCAUACCAUCGAUUAUAAGGACGCACCCAUCAGAUCCUGAGCAGUUCGAUAAGUACCUUGAGACACCCUUGGUGACUCCAUAUCCCUGCCAUCAGCAGGCUGUUGAAAGAGGAUCAAUAAAACGGCGGAGAGGGUCAGUACUCACUCGCAGUAUGCAUCACUCCAUCAAUGUUGUCCUCUCGGUGACUAGUCUCUUGAUUGCAUUCUUCUUUAAGGAUAAUAGCAAAUAGGUUGUGCGAAAAAUGACAUUGCUGUGUAAUAUAUGGUUCACGGAAAAACAAUUUUUAGUUUAAGGGGGAAUUUUUAGGUAUUUCUUGUCAAUUUUGUUGUAGUAAAAUAUAUAAAGGUGUGUUUAGUCCGCAUUUGGGGCUUACUUAAUAA